rnacentral:lncRNA from 1 species
GAUCCAGGGCGCCCUGAGAAAAGACACUUCCUGCAUUCGGUGGCUUCCAAAAUUCAUCAAGAAAUCACACAACAGAGGGGUUCUGUGUUCAGGACGACUGGAACAGUAGAAGGUGUGACACCUGCCUGGGCUCAGGCCAACACUUCCUGCAGCCCAGGAAGUGUUGUGGACAUGUGAGGACCACACCGGCAUGGGACUGGAUGGACUAGUGGCCAGAUAAGCCCUGGCUGGGCUCCUGCAGCAAGA